GGUUAAGCGACUAAGCGUACACGGUGGAUGCCCUGGCAGUCAGAGGCGAUGAAGGACGUGCUAAUCUGCGAAAAGCGCCGGCGAGGUGAUAUGAACCCUUGACCCGGCGAUGUCCGAAUGGGGAAACCCAGUGCAAUCCGUUGCACUAUCGUUAACUGAAUACAUAGGUUAACGAGGCGAACCGGGGGAACUGAAACAUCUAAGUACCCCGAGGAAAAGAAAUCAACCGAGAUUCCCCCAGUAGCGGCGAGCGAACGGGGAGCAGCCCGGAGUCUGAAUCAGCUUGUGUGUUAGUGGAACGGUCUGGAAAGUCCGACGGUACAGGGUGAUAGUCCCGUACACGAAAAUGCACAUGCUGUGAACUCGAAGAGUAGGGCGGGACACGUGGUAUCCUGUCUGAAUAUGGGGGGACCAUCCUCCAAGGCUAAAUACUCCUGACUGACCGAUAGUGAACCAGUACCGUGAGGGAAAGGCGAAAAGAACCCCGGCGAGGGGAGUGAAAAAGAACCUGAAACCGUGUACGUACAAGCAGUGGGAGCCUCUUUAUGGGGUGACUGCGUACCUUUUGUAUAAUGGGUCAGCGACUUAUAUUCUGUAGCAAGGUUAACCGUAUAGGGGAGCCGAAGGGAAACCGAGUCUUAACUGGGCGUUAAGUUGCAGGGUAUAGACCCGAAACCCGGUGAUCUAGCCAUGGGCAGGUUGAAGGUUGGGUAACACUAACUGGAGGACCGAACCGACUAAUGUUGAAAAAUUAGCGGAUGACCUGUGGCUGGGGGUGAAAGGCCAAUCAAACCGGGAGAUAGCUGGUUCUCCCCGAAAGCUAUUUAGGUAGCGCCUCGUGAAUUCAUCUUCGGGGGUAGAGCACUGUUUCGGCUAGGGGGCCAUCCCGGCUUACCAACCCGAUGCAAACUACGAAUACCGAAGAAUGUUAUCACGGGAGACACACGGCGGGUGCUAACGUCCGUCGUGAAGAGGGAAACAACCCAGACCGCCAGCUAAGGUCCCAAAGUCAUGGUUAAGUGGGAAACGAUGUGGGAAGGCACAGACAGCCAGGAUGUUGGCUUAGAAGCAGCCAUCAUUUAAAGAAAGCGUAAUAGCUCACUGGUCGAGUCGGCCUGCGCGGAAGAUGUAACGGGGCUAAACCAUGCACCGAAGCUGCGGCAGCGACGCUUAUGCGUUGUUGGGUAGGGGAGCGUUCUGUAAGCCGUUGAAGGUGUGCUGUGAGGCAUGCUGGAGGUAUCAGAAGUGCGAAUGCUGACAUAAGUAACGAUAAAGCGGGUGAAAAGCCCGCUCGCCGGAAGACCAAGGGUUCCUGUCCAACGUUAAUCGGGGCAGGGUGAGUCGACCCCUAAGGCGAGGCCGAAAGGCGUAGUCGAUGGGAAACAGGUUAAUAUUCCUGUACUUGGUGUUACUGCGAAGGGGGGACGGAGAAGGCUAUGUCAGCCGGGCGACGGUUGUCCCGGUUUAAGCAUGUAGGCGGAGGUUCCAGGUAAAUCCGGUACCUUAUUAACGCUGAGGUGUGAUGACGAGGCACUACGGUGCUGAAGUGAUAAAUGCCCUGCUUCCAGGAAAAGCCUCUAAGCAUCAGGUAACACGAAAUCGUACCCCAAACCGACACAGGUGGUCAGGUAGAGAAUACCAAGGCGCUUGAGAGAACUCGGGUGAAGGAACUAGGCAAAAUGGUGCCGUAACUUCGGGAGAAGGCACGCUGAUAUGUAGGUGAAGCCCCUGCGGGCGGAGCUGAAAUCAGUCGAAGAUACCAGCUGGCUGCAACUGUUUAUUAAAAACACAGCACUGUGCAAACACGAAAGUGGACGUAUACGGUGUGACGCCUGCCCGGUGCCGGAAGGUUAAUUGAUGGGGUUAGCGGCAACGCGAAGCUCUUGAUCGAAGCCCCGGUAAACGGCGGCCGUAACUAUAACGGUCCUAAGGUAGCGAAAUUCCUUGUCGGGUAAGUUCCGACCUGCACGAAUGGCGUAAUGAUGGCCAGGCUGUCUCCACCCGAGACUCAGUGAAAUUGAACUCGCUGUGAAGAUGCAGUGUACCCGCGGCAAGACGGAAAGACCCCGUGAACCUUUACUAUAGCUUGACACUGAACACUGGUCCUUGAUGUGUAGGAUAGGUGGGAGGCUUUGAAGCGUGGACGCCAGUCUGCGUGGAGCCAACCUUGAAAUACCACCCUUUAAUGGCUGGUGUUCUAACGUGGACCCGUAAUCCGGGUUGCGGACAGUGUCUGGUGGGUAGUUUGACUGGGGCGGUCUCCUCCCAAAGAGUAACGGAGGAGCACGAAGGUUGGCUAAUCCUGGUCGGACAUCAGGAGGUUAGUGCAAUGGCAUAAGCCAGCUUGACUGCGAGCGUGACGGCGCGAGCAGGUGCGAAAGCAGGUCAUAGUGAUCCGGUGGUUCUGAAUGGAAGGGCCAUCGCUCAACGGAUAAAAGGUACUCCGGGGAUAACAGGCUGAUACCGCCCAAGAGUUCAUAUCGACGGCGGUGUUUGGCACCUCGAUGUCGGCUCAUCACAUCCUGGGGCUGAAGUAGGUCCCAAGGGUAUGGCUGUUCGCCAUUUAAAGUGGUACGCGAGCUGGGUUUAGAACGUCGUGAGACAGUUCGGUCCCUAUCUGCCGUGGGCGCUGGAGAAUUGAGGGGGGCUGCUCCUAGUACGAGAGGACCGGAGUGGACGCAUCACUGGUGUUCGGGUUGUCAUGCCAAUGGCAUUGCCCGGUAGCUAAAUGCGGAAGAGAUAAGUGCUGAAAGCAUCUAAGCACGAAACUUGCCCCGAGAUGAGUUCUCCCUGAGACUUUAAGUCUCCUGAAGGAACGUUGAAGACGACGACGUUGAUAGGUCGGGUGUGUAAGCGCAGCGAUGCGUUGAGCUAACCGAUACUAAUGAACCGUGAGGCUUAACCUU
rnacentral:rRNA from 1 species